rfam:Thermocrinis minervae strain DSM 19557 genome assembly, chromosome: I
GCGGGCGUAGCUCAGUGGUAGAGCAGCUGCCUUCCAAGCAGCAGGUCGCGGGUUCGAGUCCCGUCGCCCGCU